rnacentral:rRNA from 1 species
UAUCCUGUCUGAAUAUGGGGGGACCAUCCUCCAAGGCUAAAUACUCCUGACUGACCGAUAGUGAACCAGUACCGUGAGGGAAAGGCGAAAAGAACCCCGGCGAGGGGAGUGAAAAAGAACCUGAAACCGUGUACGUACAAGCAGUGGGAGCACAGAGCAAUCUGUGUGACUGCGUACCUUUUGUAUAAUGGGUCAGCGACUUAUAUUCUGUAGCAAGGUUAACCGAAUAGGGGAGCCGAAGGGAAACCGAGUCUUAACUGGGCGUUAAGUUGCAGGGUAUAGACCCGAAACCCGGUGAUCUAGCCAUGGGCAGGUUGAAGGUUGGGUAACACUAACUGGAGGACCGAACCGACUAAUGUUGAAAAAUUAGCGGAUGACUUGUGGCUGGGGGUGAAAGGCCAAUCAAACCGGGAGAUAGCUGGUUCUCCCCGAAAGCUAUUUAGGUAGCGCCUCGUGAAUUCAUCUCCGGGGGUAGAGCACUGUUUCGGCAAGGGGGUCAUCCCGACUUACCAACCCGAUGCAAACUGCGAAUACCGGAGAAUGUUAUCACGGGAGACACACGGCGGGUGCUAACGUCCGUCGUGAAGAGGGAAACAACCCAGACCGCCAGCUAAGGUCCCAAAGUCAUGGUUAAGUGGGAAACGAUGUGGGAAGGCCCAGACAGCCAGGAUGUUGGCUUAGAAGCAGCCAUCAUUUAAAGAAAGCGUAAUAGCUCACUGGUCGAGUCGGCCUGCGCGGAAGAUGUAACGGGGCUAAACCAUGCACCGAAGCUGCGGCAGCGACACUGUGUGUUGUUGGGUAGGGGAGCGUUCUGUAAGCCUGCGAAGGUGUGCUGUGAGGCAUGCUGGAGGUAUCAGAAGUGCGAAUGCUGACAUAAGUAACGAUAAAGCGGGUGAAAAGCCCGCUCGCCGGAAGACCAAGGGUUCCUGUCCAACGUUAAUCGGGGCAGGGUGAGUCGACCCCUA